GAUGAACGCUGGCGGCGUGCCUAAUACAUGCAAGUCGAGCGAACAGACGAGGAGCUUGCUCCUCUGACGUUAGCGGCGGACGGGUGAGUAACACGUGGAUAACCUACCUAUAAGACUGGGAUAACUUCGGGAAACCGGAGCUAAUACCGGAUAAUAUAUUGAACCGCAUGGUUCAAUAGUGAAAGACGGUUUUGCUGUCACUUAUAGAUGGAUCCGCGCCGCAUUAGCUAGUUGGUAAGGUAACGGCUUACCAAGGCGACGAUGCGUAGCCGACCUGAGAGGGUGAUCGGCCACACUGGAACUGAGACACGGUCCAGACUCCUCGGGAGGCAGCAGUAGGGAAUCUUCCGCAAUGGGCGAAAGCCUGACGGAGCAACGCCGCGUGAGUGAUGAAGGUCUUCGGAUCGUAAAACUCUGUUAUUAGGGAAGAACAAAUGUGUAAGUAACUAUGCACGUCUUGACGGUACCUAAUCAGAAAGCCACGGCUAACUACGUG
rnacentral:rRNA from 1 species